rnacentral:rRNA from 1 species
UGUAUCGGAACGUGUCCUGUCGUGGGGGAUAGCCCGGUGAAAACCGGAUUAAUACCGCAUACGAUCGAGAGAUGAAAGUGGGGGACCGCAAGGCCUCACGCGAUAGGAGCGGCCGAUAUCUGAUUAGCUAGUUGGUGGGGUAAAAGCCUACCAAGCCGACGAUCUGUAGCUGGUCUGAGAGGACGACCAGCCACACUGGGACUGAGACACGGCCCAGACUCCUACGGGAGGCAGCAGUGGGGAAUUUUGGACAAUGGGCGCAAGCCUGAUCCAGCCAUGCCGCGUGCGGGAAGAAGGCCUUCGGGUUGUAAACCGCUUUUGUCAGGGAAGAAAAGCUCUGGGCUAAUACCCCGGGGUCAUGACGGUACCCGAAGAAUAAGCACCGGCUAACUACGUG